rnacentral:lncRNA from 1 species
AUAUCGUAUUUAAUAAUGGUAGUAAGCGAAUUGAAUUCCGUUGUUUGGACCGAAAGUAUACUUUGGAGACUUAAGGCUCGAGACUUAAUAAUUCGUUGUAAAUUACUUUGAGUGAAAAUUCCUUGUAAAAUCCGUGUUCGAACAAAAAAAACAUUUGGAAAUCUUACAUUGAAAGUAAUAUCUCUUUACAUUGUAUUAUCACUAAAAAUCAACAAUAACGUGAGCUGUUGAAGUUAAUCUCUAUGAUACAAAAGAAAAGAUAACAACGUUUAACGAAUGUAUUUUAUUAAACAAAAAUAAUGGAAAAAGCACUUGCACUCUUAGCAAUAUGGUUUGGUAAAAAAGCUACAUUUUAUACUAUUGGUAGAAUGUAUGGUUUUCCACGUGUCUACAGAAGAUUUAUUGAAUUUAAUCGUAGAUGGACUUCAAACAAGGACAAACUGAAAAAUCGGUCUUCAUUUGUUAAAUAUUUCUUCAGGAUUCCUAAUCAAAUCUCUUGGCGUUUUAAGUAUCCAAAGGGUCGUACUUAGUAUUAUUUAAUACUUUCGGUACUUUUGUAAAAAGGAAAUACAAUUGUAGCUUUUAUU